UUUUCUCCAGAAUGGUUCUGAGCUGGCUCUUACAGAUUUUGCCUCCUUAAAAAUAGCAGCAGUUCUGUUGGCCAGUGGCACAUUAGUAAAAGUGGGGAGAAUGGCAGCGGUAAUGAUAGACUAAGAGUUGGAAGGAGUCUGGCAGACAGCAUUUGAUCACCCCUCAUGGUCUUCAAGUCUUGAUUAAAAUAAUCCUGUGAAGUAGUCUAUCUGCUGAACAUUCAUUGUCAACCAUCACACUGCAAGCCUUAGAUGAUUGUGGUGGUUUCUAAAAGGGAAGUUCUCUCUCAGACAGACACUUGGCAAAUAGUAGGUGCUCAAUAAAUGUUUAUAUCAUACUCUUACAUUAGGGUUAUCAUUGAAAUAUCUUUGAGGAGUACAACAGUAUCUGUGGUGGGCUGGGAAAGUGUGAAAAACCAAGAAGGUGGGCAGGAGUGCAGAGGGGGUAUGUGGUGGCUAAAAGUGUGGCUCCAGUGGCAAGGGGAGAUAAUGGGGACUCUGUACCCUCGAAGAGACCAAACUGGACCACUAAUGACAUUAGGUUAGAAUAGGACAACAGUUGGGAUCUGGCCACCUCUUACAGGGAUGAUUUUGAAGUGGAGCAUUUCUCUAUAGAGUUCUAAAUGACAAACUUCUAUAAUGGAUAUUUUUUAUAGCAGUGGAGCUACAUUUUCAUCUCCUUGCUUCAAUCAAGAAUUACUUCUGAGGCCGGGGAUGUAGCUCAGCAGCAUAAGCACUUGCCUGGGAAGCACAAGGCUAUAAGUUUGAUCCCUGGUACAAAAAAAAAGAAUUACUUCUGGCCAGCAUGGUGGCACAAGCCUGUAAUCCCAGCAGUUGGGAGGCUGAGGCAGGAGAAUGUCUUAAGCCAAUAAGAAUUAUACUUUGAGACUCCUGUCUCCAAAACAAACAAACAAAUAAAAAAGUUCCUUUAGGAUCUGAUAGGGAUUUUGCCAAGCAUUAGUCAGAAAGGGUGAAUGGGCCCUUCACACUUUCAGUUAGCAAGAGCUUGAGCAAGUGCAAGACUGAGGGCAGGGUUCUUACACAGCCAUUGUGGGGACUCUGCACAGUCGUGAGUGGGGAAUUUGAGCACCUGGUUUUGGAUUUUGUGUGCACAUAUUUUGAACAUUCUGGGGGGAGAGGUCUAUACAGGAUUAAAUAACCAUUAAAAACUGUUGACUUAAACAAGACUUCAAAAAUUUUAUUUUGCCUACAACAGCUAUGCUCCAUCUACCAACUUGUGUUCCCAAAAGGGCCAGAUUGCUAUUAUUGGUACUUUUUACAGCAAGCCAGCUAUAAAUGCAUAUAAAGUCUCUCUAGCCUUAAAUUUGAAAUUUUGCGGUCUAAGAUCUGCACAUAUUUAAGUCUGAAUUAAUCAAAUUAUUUGAAAAGUGAGCCUUAUUCAUAUCAGAAGCCAGUCCAGGAAUGAGGCUGGGCCGAUCUUAUACAUUGUUUUAUUCAAAAUCAGUAGGGGAGGGUCAGUUCCUACAGCAACCACUGGUGUGUUUGUUGAGGCCUUGCUUUGUGUCAGAUGGUGAAAUCUAAUCCUUUACCUGGGUGGAAGACACAGACUGACAAUUAGUACAGAUGCACCAAAGUAAUCCCAGUCUGUGUUAGCAAGUUUUUCUUCCCAACAGAACAUCUCUCUAGUGCUUGUCUGCUUUCUAGAUGAAUAUGGCCUUUCAGUUCAGACCACUCUAGGAAGAGUAAGUAAUUUUGGAUUAAAUCAAAGAGUAUCAGAUGAUUUUCUCAUAACUUCGAAGAAUGAAGUGUUCUUUUUAUAAAGGUAAUAUUUUUCUUCUGUGGUAGAAACCAAAGAACCACUUACUAGUCACAUCCCUCCCUUCCACCCGGACUCACCUCCAACCCCAUUCCCUAGAAUUCCCUAGAUUCCCAGAGGAGCAGAAGAGGUAUAUACACUGCCUCCAGAGGACUGGGGAGAAGGGAAGAUACGCACGUGGGUCUUUCUUGUUCAGCAUUUCCAGGAGUCACAUUUUUUUCAAGGCCCCUAUAGAUAAUGUUGCGAGGAUCUGGAAAUAACCAACUGAGAAAUUACAUAUUUUAAAGGGUCAAAUAAGUGUAUGUUGGGAAGGAAUGAAGGGGUCUAAAAACCUUUAUGUGCAUUUUCCUUAAUAUUGAAAUUCUGUACAGUACUACAUUAUAUUCAUUGGAGUAGCUUCUUUUAAAACUAUUUGAAGAUACUGCCUAAGGUAAACAUGGAUGUCUAAAUGAGAAGCCCCUGGAAGAAGAAGCAAGCACUUCCUAGAACCUUGUACUCCGACAUAUCUCAUCCCCACAGAAGCCCUUAUUUCAGAAAACUGAGCCUUAAAAUGAGGAUGUAGCUCCCUAAUAGAACACUUGCCUAGCAUGCAUGAGGCCUUGGAUUGAUCCAGCACCGCAAAAGAAACAAAACCCAGAGCCUGGUCCCUAGGGGAAGAGAAAUACCAGGAAGGGGGCACAAUUUAAAUUCAAGUCUGUCCAACAUCAAAGCUCCUGCUCCUCUGAACCUUCAUGCCAGGAGCUGUUCCCAGAACUACCUUAAAAAUCAACGUUUCUCAAUUCAUGCUAUGAUUCCUAAUAAUAGGAGUGUGGGACUCAGCUCUUGACCAUCUGGAACUUUGAGGAGCUCUGGAGAUUGCUAAAGUCCACGUGGGCC